ensembl:ncRNA asRNA:CR46029 antisense RNA:CR46029
ACAAGUCUCCAGUUCUACUCUGGUCCCUCCAAAAGCCAGUAGGUCUCCAUCUCGCCCUUGCCCUUGACCUUGACAAAUCCCCGCGCUUCAACCUUAUAGCCCACCUUUUGCACCUUCAGCGCAGUAUAGUUGGACAGCUGGAUCAUCCAGGGAUCGCUGCUGCUCUCCAUUCGCGAGGCGGUGUUAACGGUGUCUCCAAAGAGACAGUAUCGAGGAACCUUCAUCCCAACCACGCCGGCGACGACGGGUCCCGAGUUAAUGCCCACCCGUAUAGCCACCCCGGGAAGAGCAUGGGCUUUGACCUUCUUCAUCACCCUUAAGGCCAAAUCGCAGGCGUGUUCGGCAUGCAGGGGAUUCACAUCAGGAGCACCCGAAACAGCCAUGUAAACCAUGCCCACGGUCUCCACUUUGUAAACAAACGGGGAAAUGAUCUCUUCGUCCAAUGCCGAAAACACUUUGUUUAAGGUGGUCACCGCCUGCAUGGCAUCCUGGAUGUUGUUGGACCCACUGUCAUAGAUAUUCAUUACCUCGAUGAAAAUGACGGAUACCUCCUCGAAACUCUGACACACGUGCUCCUCGCUCUUUCUCAUUCGCUCGGCAAUGGGUCGCGGUAUCAUGGAAUACAGUAGCUCAUCUCCCUGCCGCUUCCAGGAAUCUGCCAGUUCCAGCGACUUUUCCAGCUCAUCCGAUCGCUGCUCCUCCUUCUCAAACAUUAUCUCCAGCUUGGAGCAGUGCUGCCAUCCCGCCAUCACAAGCUCUCUACUCAGUCCAUGCGGAUUAAGAUCGUUCAAAUAGAGACCGAUUCCAUGCAGCUCAUCGAGAUUUUCGAUUAGAGGACUGCACAGGAAGAUCAGCGAGUCCACAUCUUUGAUAUAGAACAUUUGUCCCUUCAACAGGAUAGAUCGGAGGCCCACCGAAUGGCGUCUCUGUCCCGUGGCGGGAUCGAUUUCGUCCUUGGAGGUGGCUGCCGCUGCUGCCUCUUCCUUGGCGUUCUCCGCACUAAACUCCUUGGCACUGGCCAAAGCCAUGGCCUGCGCCUCGUUCAGGCUGCUGGCUUCAUCAAAGUUUUCAAAGUCAAAGUUCAAGGCCGCAUCAUAGGCGGCACGAUUGUGACCCGUACGGAUGAGCUCAAACUCGAAGAGAACUGUACGCAUUUGCAGAAUGGUCUCCCAUUGGAUCUGAGUGUCCUUGGGACGACGGCACUUGAACCGCUCCAAUAUGUGACUGCCAAUAAAGGUCUUUGGGUUCACUCCAGGAUUAUGCAGAAUCCACGUCUCGACAAUCUUCUCGCCCGCAAGUGUGAUUUUCAUGUCGUGAUCCAGCACAAUGGUGAAGGGAAACAGCUCGAGGAACACAUUCAGGUCCACCGACGGCAUCUUCAGCUGCGAAGGAUGCGCGAUGACAUUGACCCGCUUGGCCAUAUAAUCGCGAUUAUCGAAGUCCAGCCGAUACUUGACAAUCACGGUCAGAGGACCCUCCGUAAGCUUGAUGGGACCGGCUGUGCCACCGCAUAUGUCAUUUUGGCUCUCCAGGACAUAGGCAGUCAUGUCUAGGCCGUAGAACUCCUUGGCCACCUCGGUCAUCUGGCCAAUCAGGUACUUGGACAUGCCAGUUCGGCCGCUGCGGUACAGGAUCACAGCCCCAUCGUCAUCCAUGUUGGUCAACUGCAUGCUGGGCGACUUCAUCUUGGGAUAGGUGAAACGCAUCUGCACGUGAAUGUUGUCGAUGGACUGCAGGAAGUCGCAGAAGUAUCGCCCUGUGGAGCGGAUCAUCUUGUCGUAGCCGAAGUUGCUGAAGAAUCGCACAAAACAGCGCCCGAAGAAGUUCAUGCAGAAGUCGAAGGACUCGCCCGUGCUGGCGGACAGGGCUGCCGCAAAGUCCGGCAUCAGCUUGUCCGGAUAGAUCUGAUGUGUCUUGAAGCUCUGAUGCUUGCAGUCGACAAUCUGGCAGACCUUUCGCCAGGUCUCCAUGCCAUACUCCUGCUGGAUAUAGUGCUGCACGCUCUCGUACAGCAUUCCGUACAUGAUGGGGCAGGAUGUGAAUGUCCUUGGUCCUGUGAAGUCCUGCCUAUCGUCGAAAUUGCCUUCGUAAAAGUUUAUCCUGUAACGAAACAAAGUUGGCAGUCACAUAUUUAGGGGUGUGGUUAGCCAAAGUUUUUCCAUCGCUCUGAGCUGGUAAUUAGGUAAACUGUGUUCGUACCCCGGAGGAUUUAGGACAAUUUCGUUGCGUUGGGUCAGGGAUUAGGCCAACAAACUCGUACACAACUUAAGUGAUUGGUAGUAGGCUAGGAUGCUACAUAAAAAAGUCUUGCGCUGAUAUAGUCUUGAGUAACUACUUAGAGUGAAAAUUAAAUUGUAUUCAGUCGCUGUUCUUAUGCGUGAAAUCUGUUUCCUAUUUUUAGAGACAUGCAUUUAAAAUCCAUUAAACACGUAAUUAAUGUAAGGUGACAUACAUUUGGUGUAUGUUUAAGCCGUCAGAGUAUAUCCUCUUAUCUAGCCUUCAAAAACACCCAAUGCUUUUCCUCCGUAGCAUUUGAUUUAUUGCCCCGACAGUUUAAUUUGAGUUCAUGUGGCAGACACGCGGUGGAAAUCCUCCUAUUUCCCACAUCAAGGUCUUUCAAAUCUGUCACGUUCUUCGCGAAAGGAACAUAGCUCAUUGUGCUCAACUUAUUUCCGUUUCCUAUUGCCGGUAAUUCGCUGGUGGCAACGCCAGUUUUUCAUUUUUUUUCUACUCAGACUAACUAACUGAGCCACAAAUUCUCGAACAUCUUUCCUGAGUUUAGUGUAUUUAAUUUUGACAAAAAACAUGCAAAUUUCCGACAAGCCGAAGGUCGUAAAAAGUGGAUAAAAAUGCUGUUUCAAAAUGCUAACGUUUGAUUAAUGGUCAGGGAAUCCACGUAGUCAAAAAGAACAUAAAGGCAAUGCUUAACUUCUGCUCCUUUAUACUCAAGUUAACAAUACGUAGAUUUAAUCGCUCGUAAUUUAUGGUAGCUUGAAAGUGGCAGGGAGAACCCUAAUCUAUAUAAAUUGAUAAAUAAUGGAUUGGAUGCUAAAGUUAAAUGGACUAUAGUGUAAUAAUUUGUGGCCAACUCAGUUGCAACUUUAACUUUAAGUUUUAACUUAAAUGAUGUAGUUCCUCUGCUUCUCAUAUUGCUUCCUAAUCCUUUAAAGAACUGCCUUCUUAAGGAUGUAUGAAAAUCCCCUUAUUUCUCUCGAUAUAUCUCUUUGAUUAGUGAACCGUGAAAUUAGCUUAUUAUAUCCCCAGCAAUCCCUGCUACCUUAUAUUGCUUUCCGGCUCGUUCCAAUCCACUAGAUGAAUCGCAUGAAGUUCUCCAGCAUCGGAGCCGCUUGUCGUUUGUCUGUGCCUCAGAAAGAGUUUUAAUUAUAUCCACGCGGCAUUUGCCAGUCGCUUAUUUAUAAUUUAAGGAAGGCAUAUACGCCUGCACACGCACAGCAUCCCCGGAUGCGUAAAGUCGGGGUACAUAUAUAUACGCGCACUCCACGGCAAACUCUCACUUUUCCGUACUCCGUGUUGCGUCGUCGGCAGUUGCUAUUGUUACACUAAAUUUGUUUUGCCGCCUGUCGCUGCUUCCUUGGCUUCUGGCUGCCUGAUUUGCUUUUGCUUCAUGAUUUCCUCUGACAGACGAGCUUCGUGAGUCUGUCGGCUCUUUCGCAUCCGUCGGUUCCGUCGGUACCGUCGGUUUCCCCUGGAGCUUUCCCUUUUCGCCGGGACGAUGUCGGUCGACUGAAGCGUGCCCCUGUGGCGGUCAGGCCUUUUAUAGCCCACCCACUAGCCAAGUUGCAGUUGGAGCUGUAUUUCCGGCCCACUUAGGACCUACGUGCCUGCGCUUCGACACGCACUUCUCUGUUUGACCAUCGUGAUCAUCAUCGGCAGUCAAUGCUCUUUGCCACAAUUGCCACUUUGUCUCCUUCCGAAACAGUAAAACAUUGUCACACAACCGAAGGAGUCAUUUUUCUCCCCGUUCAUUUCCUUUUAUGGGCUCACUCCCCCACAUCGAUGUACAUAUAUAUGUGUGCGGUGUCCUGGGAAAGUAUUGUCCUUUGGGUCUUUACCAGGGCUGAAUAACACCUAGUAAUAGACUGACGACUAGGUUAGUCAGUUAUAAUAGAUAUGUGGCUUAUACAAAUGUUAAAAUUUCAAACUUUUAGUUUCCUUUAGAUAAUUUCUUUCCAAUUGUAUUCUCUGUAUAAAACGCUGUUCUAAUUUUCUGAACCAUUUCUUACAAUUUAGAAAUACUCGAGUACUUUGAAUGUAUAUCCCAAGCCCUGAAGUAUCGAAAACCGUCUGUCAAAUGUAUCAUUGUAACAGAGUUUUUCGCUUUGGCCGUUUGCCAUUUCCCCGAUGGAGGAAUGGUUUUGUGGCUCUGUGCUUAAUGCUUUUCCAUUUUCACGCAGUUAUAUAUACAAAAAGAUGUACAUACACAUGUUAGCCUGAAUCCUGCACAUAUUUGAUGUGUUGUUUUAAAGCAAUUUAAAAGGGAUUUCACAGCAUCGAACAAAAAGCCUUUGUCCCACUUAAACGAAACGGAUUUUAGGGCUAGUCUAUUAAAUAAACGUUGACAAUUUUAUGGACAGACCAUUAUUCGACUAAGAGGACGAUAAUAUGCCCGGCUGAAUAAAAGAAGGAGAUACUUCUACCACUCAAAAAGCCAUCAAUUACAGAUGCGACAGGCACGCGUUGCAUAACUACAAAAAUAUUAUAUUUAUGUACAUUGGGUCCCGAAGAAAAUAACUCAAUAUAAUCAAACAAAAACAGCUCUUAACGGAGUAAAAACUAAUGACGAUGGCCCUCAACACACAAAAGUUCUGAUAUCAACUUUUGUGACAAAAAAUAUUUUUUUAUUAAACUAAGAAAAUACAAGAAUAUUUUCAAAAUUCUUAUUUUUAUUUUUUUUUAACCAUUUUCAAAGUCUUAUUAUUUGUUCAGUGUAGUUAUUUUCAAUAUUGCACCGGAAUUAAGUGUCCAACGUCCAGGCGUUCGAGCUAAGGACACGCAGAGUGACUUAAUUUAAUUUAUAUAAGAAAGAGGCGAACGGAGGUUACUGUAUGUUUGAAUGGGCUUACGAUGGUCCGUCGUGGGUUGGAGAUGAUGGUGUGCAAAGUGACACGCAAACCGCCCAUAAAAGUUAUUAAAAAUGGAUUUUCCGAAAUGAGGGUUGUCUGCGGGAAAUGGCAGGAGUUGGUAAUUGAAAAGGCAGGAUGGAGGAUAUUAUAAGAACUUGAGCUUAUAAAGGGUGUAUUCAAUAAGAGUCUAUUGUCUACAUAGAUAGCUGGUAUUAUUAAACAAAUUAAGUUUGUCCCAAAACCAGCAGGAAAUAGGUAUUAUUUAUACUUUCACAAAAAGUCAGAGGAGCAGAGCUAAAUUCUCUUUUAUUGCAACAAAUUAAGAGAGCCACAGGUGCCGUACAAUCAGAACAUGGUGCUAUAAAUAAAGAUACAUUUAAUAUUUUUCUAUUCCUAGCCCUCGGGACCCUCCAGCAGCCAGUAGGUCUCCAUGUCGCCCUUGCCUUUGACCUGGACCGUACCACGCGACUCCACUUUGUAGCCCACUUGGCGCACUUUAUCGCCGGUGUACUUCGAUAGCUGGAUCUUCCAGGGAUCACUGCUGCUCUCCAUUCGCGAGGCGGUGUUAACGGUGUCCCCAAACAGACAGUAUCGAGGAACCUUUUGGCCCACAACGCCAGCCACCACAGGUCCCGAAUUGAUGCCAACUCGAAUAGCCACGUCCCCCAUAUCGUGAGCCUUGAACUUUUUCAUCACCCUUAAGGCCAAAUCGCAGGCGUGUUCGGCGUGCAGGGGAUUCACAUCAGGAGCACCCGAAACAGCCAUGUAAACCAUGCCCACGGUCUCCACUUUGUAAACGAAUGGGGAAAUGAUCUCCUCAUCCAGAGCGGAAAAUACUUUGUUCAAAGUGUUCACCGUCUGCAUAGCUCCCUGAAUGCUGUUCAAUCCUUCAUCAUAGACGUUCAUCACCUCGAGGAAGAUGACGGACACUUCCUCGAAACUCUGGCAAACCUGUUCUUCGCUGAGUCGCAUUCUUUCGGCAAUGGGCCGCGGAAUCAUGGAGUAGAGCAGCUCAUCCCCCUGCCGCUUCCAGGAAUCUGCCAGCUCCAGCGAUUUUUCCAGCUCAUCCGAUCGCUGCUCCUCCUUUUCAAACAUGAUCUCCAGCUUGGAGCAGUGCUGCCAUCCCGCCAUCACAAGCUCUCUACUCAGUCCAUGUGGAUUAAGAUCGUUCAAAUAGAGACCGAUUCCAUGCAGCUCAUCGAGAUUUUCGAUUAGAGGACUGCACAGGAAGAUCAGCGAGUCCACAUCUUUGAUGUAGAACAUCUGUCCCUUCAAAAGGAUGGACCUCAAGCCCUGGGAAGAUCGACGUUCCCCAGUGGCAGGGUCGAUCUCAUCCUCUCUCGCAGAUUCAUCAUCAUCCACCGGAUGGGAUUCACUGAACUCCUGAGCCUUGGCCAGCGCCAUAGUUUGGGCUUCGUUUAAGUCCAUCUCGUCAUAGUUCUCAAAGUCCAUGUUUAAGACAGCAUCGUAGGCAGCGCGAUUGUGACCCGUGCGAAUCAACUCGAACUCAAAGAGCACGGCUCUCAUCUGGAUCAGGGUAUCCCAGUCGAUAGUGGUGUCUUUCGGACGACGGCAUUGGAACAAGUCCAUUACGUGGGUGCCAAUGAAGCUCUUUGGAUUGGCCCCUGGAUUGUGCAUAAUCCAGGUCUCAACGAUCUUCUCACCAGCAUGCGUGAUCUUCAUGUCGUGGUUCAGCACAAAUGUGAAGGGAAAAAGAUCGAGGAACACAUCCAGUUUCACGGUGGGCAUUUUGAGCUGUGAGGGAUGGGCCUCCGUAUUGACGCGCUUGGCCAUGUACUCCCGGUUAUCAAAGUCCAGACGAUACUUCACAAUCACGGUCAAGGGACCAUCCGUGAGCUUGAUGGGACCAGCAGUGCCUCCACUGAUGUCAUUCUGGCUCUCGAUCACGUAAGCCUUGAUCUCCAGGCCGUAAAACUCGCGGGCCACCUCGGUCAUCUGCCCAAUUAGGUACUUGGACAUUCCAGUGCGACUGCUUCUGUAUAGGAUCACAGCUCCGUUAUCAUCCAUAUUGGUCAACUGCAUGCUGGGCGACUUCAUCUUGGGAUAGGUGAAACGCAUAAUCAAGUGAAUGUUGUCGAUGGACUGCAGGAAGUCGCAGAAGUAUCGCCCGGUGGAGCGGAUCAUCUUGUCGUAGCCGAAGUUGCUGAAGAAUCGCACAAAACAGCGCCCGAAGAAGUUCAUGCAGAAGUCGAAGGACUCGCCCGUGCAGGCGGACAAAGCCUCGGCGAUAUCCGGCAUCAGCUUGUCCGGAUAGAUCUGGUGCGUCUUGAAGCUAUUGUGCUUGCAGUCGAUGAUGUGACACACCUUCCGCCAAAUGUCCACGCCAUACUCCUCCUGCACGUAGUGCUGCACACUCUCAUACAGCAUUCCAUACAUGGUUUAUGUUUCUGAAAAAAUGGAAAACAAUGGACGAUUAAAUGUAUAACAAGAAAACAUGAUAAAACAAUAAAAACAACGAGAUACAUUGUCUCAAUUUAUUGUUCGAUUGUUCCUUUAUAAGAAGUUAUAUAUUAUAAG